GGGGGCGUAGUGAUAACGGGAGCACGAGGCCUUUGCAAGGCUUAGGUAGGGGUUCGAUUCCCCUCGCCUCCA
rnacentral:tRNA from 1 species